AGAGUUUGAUCCUGGCUCAGAACGAACGCUGGCGGCAUGCCUAACACAUGCAAGUCGAACGAAGCCUUCGGGCUUAGUGGCGCACGGGUGCGUAACACGUGGGAAUCUGCCCUUGGGUACGGAAUAACAGUGAGAAAUUACUGCUAAUACCGUAUGAUGUCUUCGGACCAAAGAUUUAUCGCCCAGGGAUGAGCCCGCGUAGGAUUAGCUAGUUGGUGAGGUAAAGGCUCACCAAGGCUACGAUCCUUAGCUGGUCUGAGAGGAUGAUCAGCCACACUGGGACUGAGACACGGCCCAGACUCCUACGGGAGGCAGCAGUGGGGAAUAUUGGACAAUGGGCGAAAGCCUGAUCCAGCAAUGCCGCGUGAGUGAAGAAGGCCUUCGGGUUGUAAAGCUCUUUUACCCGGGAAGAUAAUGACCGUACCGGGAGAAUAAGCCCCGGCUAACUCCGUGCCAGCAGCCGCGGUAAUACGGAGGGGGCUAGCGUUGUUCGGAAUCACUGGGCGUAAAGCGUGCGUAGGCGGCCAUUCAAGUCAGAGGUGAAAUCCCAGGG
rnacentral:rRNA from 1 species